UGGCCUUGACAUCUACGGAAUCCUGCAGAGAUGCGGGAGUGCCUUCGGGAACCGUAAGACAGGUGCUGCAUGGCUGUCGUCAGCUCGUGUCGUGAGAUGUUGGGUUAAGUCCCGCAACGAGCGCAACCCUUGUCCUUAGUUGCCAUCAUUCAGUUGGGAACUCUAAGGAGACCGCCGGUGACAAACCGGAGGAAGGUGGGGAUGACGUCAAGUCAUCAUGGCCUUUAUGGCCAGGGCUACACACGUGCUACAAUGGCAGGUACAGAGGGAAGCCAACUCGCGAGAGGGAGCCAAUCCCAGAAAGCCUGUCGUAGUCCGGAUCGGAGUCUGCAACUCGACUCUGUGAAGUCGGAAUCGCUAGUAAUCGCAGAUCAGCAUUGCUGCGGUGAAUACGUUCCCGGGCC
rnacentral:rRNA from 1 species